rnacentral:siRNA from 1 species
ACACCCUUAAUGUUGAUGCAUAAU